ACGAAGGGGGCUAGCGUUGUUCGGAAUUACUGGGCGUAAAGCGCGCGCAGGCGGUUCUUCAAGUCAGAGGUGAAAGCCCAGGGCUCAACCCUGGAAUGGCCUUUGAGACUAGAGGACUUGGGUACGGGAGAGGUAAGUGGAAUUCCGAGUGUAGAGGUGAAAUUCGUAGAUAUUCGGAAGAACACCAGUGGCGAAGGCGACUUACUGGACACAUAUUGACGCUGAGGUGCGAAAGCGUGGGGAGCAAACAGGA
rnacentral:rRNA from 1 species